UACGAAGGGGGCUAGCGUUGCUCGGAAUUACUGGGCGUAAAGGGCGCGUAGGCGGACAGUUUAGUCAGAGGUUAAAGCCCAGGGCUCAACCUUGGAAUCGCCUUUGAUACUGGCUGUCUUGAGUACGGGAGAGGUGUGUGGAACUCCGAGUGUAGAGGUGAAAUUCGUAGAUAUUCGCAAGAACACCAGUGGCGAAGGCGGCUCACUGGCCCGAUACUGACGCUGAGGUGCGAAAGCGUGGGGAGCAAACAGG
rnacentral:rRNA from 1 species